CUCCUUUCUCCUUUUCCCCUUCAGAGAGCUCUGAAAGGUCAUCAGCAGCAUCAUGGCGACCUUGCUCCCGCUCAAGACGCCGCUUUAUAUUUCUUAAUAUAAAGAGCAAAUGGUAAGAAGUGUGGAAGGGGGACCUGCUUCUUUUUGCGAGCAAGAUGCCAAAUGCGCCAGCACAUAUUCUCAAGCCUGUUGCUCCUAUCACGUGAGUUCCUUGUUGCUAUCACCUGUCAUUCACAAGUUAUUUCCUUUCAUUUCUCCUUUUAAUUAAAACUUCUUAAUAACAUCAAAAUCCACCCCCCACCCCAAACCAAAAAAGAAGAAAAAAACCCUGGAUGAUACAACUCCCAUCUCUAUUAUUGAUAUUUCUUUCCCUUCCUUGUCAAUUUUCCAUGAGUCCAUGUUCAAACACAUUUUGUUAUGAAAUUUGUGCUAUAAAGCAUAACCCUAAAUCACAAUUUGUUUAUUUAGAAUCUUUCUAUUUUUUGCUUAAAUUGGGUGACUGCCAAAACUUAGAAUAGGUAUAGAUAAAUGUUUUAGACCCCCAACUUUCCUAUAAAAGGAAAUGACCUGACUUGAAAUAAACCUCUUACUCUUUCCCCCUCAAUAAAUUUUCAGCAGAUUAUGUUUACUCUUUUGGAAUGAAGUACUUUUUAACUGUUUUAUUCAAUAACACAAAUAUAAAAAAUAUACUUAAUUAUAAAAAACAGAUUCUUUUCUGGGUCAAAAAAGGACAAGCUUUACAUCAACCUCACUAUAACCUUUAUGUAUAUCAUAUAUUUUUCUUUUAAUUUUUUUUUUUUGGAGGGGGGGGUAUGCAUAAUUAUUUACUUUAGAUGGGAUGAGACACUUUUAAGGAUAAGAAAGUUGAGUUUGUUUUGAAUAAAGGAGAAGAUAUGAUGCCCAUGCAAUCCCAUAACAACUGUAACCAAAUUCUAUGUGUAUGUAUUCUCACUUGAAGACAGUGUAGGUCACUUUACAAGGUGCUAAAUAUCUUGAUAUAAGUAUCUUCUUUUUUAGUACCAUAAA